AUGUCCCCCCCACCCCCCCAAGGACGACCAGUGUCUUUCACUGAUUACAAACCCCAGCGUCCGAAACUGCUCAAAGGCGCAAGGAGGGCACAGGCGAGGGUGUCCCAGGUGCCCUGCAGGGCCAGGGCGCCGGCGCCAGGUGCCCAUCAAGCUCCCGGGAGGACGGAAGCGCGGGGGCAGGGAGCCCGCACCCCAAGGGCUCUGUGGACCCGCCCAGCCCCGACGGGACGGGACGGGACGCCGCCGAGGGCCGCCCUGCUCCCCGCCAGGUCUGCCUUGCGCCAGGGACAGGGGUCCUACUCGGCUCUGCACGUCUCUGUCUCCCCGCAUCUACCGUGGCCCCACAUGAUGUGCUCCAAGGCCAGCGCCCUGCACCCAGCGCCAAUGACUGUUCCAGCACUCGGGGGACUGAGUACACUGAGCAGAGGAAGUCCUGAAAUCGAGGAGGUCAUAGAAGGUGAUAUGGCUACUGUCUGUCUUCUUGGGAUGCUUUCCCUUGGAACCUACCCAUCACGCCAUGGGGAGGGCCGAGCAAGCUGUGGAGGGGAACCCCAUCUCGGUGACAGCUGGCUCCCCGGGCAGCACACAUCUUCAGAGAGGUGAGUGAAUGAGACUCCACAUGAUUCCAGCGUCAGCCACUAAGUCCCCUCCAGUUUUUGGGUCCUCCCAGCUGUGUGACACACCUAACAGCAUAAGUAAGAUGAUGUUUUAUUUUUUUUUAUCUUAUUUUUUAAAGAUUUUAUUUAUCCAUGAGAGACACAGAGAGCGAGGCAGAGAGAGGCAGAGACAUAGGCAGAAGGAGAAGCAGGCUGCCUGCGGGGGGCGUGAUGCAGGACUCCAUCCUGGGACUCUGGGAUCAUGACCUGAACCAAAG
rnacentral:lncRNA from 1 species